UGAGUGAUUAGCCAGUGCAAAACAGAAAGAAAAAAUAAGUAUGUUUUUUCUUAUAAAUAUACAGUGAUUGACUAUUUAUUGUUGAAUUUGUUAUGUGCUCUACCUUACAUAUUGUUAUUAGAGGGCAUAAAGUACAGAAUCACAAAAUCUUUUCCAUGGGCAGAUUUACUGGGAAGGGGGUUAAACCCCCCCCCCCCCGCGAAUCUCUUUAACCCCUCUUAAUAUUAAGUGUUCAACCCUACCAAAAUUUUGCUUCACCCCUCCUAUUUUGUGUGAAACUCCUUAACACCAACACGUAACCCCUGCUGAAGCUCGCUCAGUGGUGCCUCUUCAAAUUUUUCCACCCUCCUUUUAAAAAAAUGAAAAUUUGCCCUUGGUUCAAAGAAUUAACUGUACUUUAUGUUCGAUAUUUGCUCUAGCUAUCUUGUAUAUGGUAUUGACUAUUGAUAUAUAGCAUGUGCAUUCACGAUAAUUGAAAGACUUGAAAAUGUGGCUGAAACUUUUCAAACUCACAGUUCUGUUGGAAACUAUUCUACUUAAAUAUUAAUUAAGAUGAAAACACUGGAAGCAUUACUGAAUUAUGAAACCUAAUUGUACAAAUUGUAAGGAAUAGAGAUGCCAUCUUUUUUUCCUACUUUUUAUCAUAAAAUGUGAUUGUAUUUUUCUGCUUUAUCCACACAUUUUUACUAUUAUUAAAUAAACAAGAAAUAGGAAAAGUAUGAUGGCAGGAAUGUUUGUGACAACAGCAUAUUAUAUUACUGGUAAAACAGGUAAUGAGCAAUGUAAAUAUAGAUUUCAUAUUAGAGUUCAAUGUAAAUAGUAUAGAAUGUGUUCAAAAAGCAUGAAGUAUAUUGUUGCAUCAGAUUACGGACCUUGAGAAGUGUGAU